UACAGAGGUCUCAAGCGUUGUUCGGAUUCAUUGGGCGUAAAGGGUGCGUAGGCGGCGGAGUAAGUUGGGUGUGAAAUCCCGAGGCUCAACCUCGGAAUGGCAUUCAAUACUGCUUCGCUCGAGUACUGGAGAGGAGGCUGGAAUUUACGGUGUAGCAGUGAAAUGCGUAGAUAUCGUAAGGAAGGCCGGUGGCGAAGGCGAGCCUCUGGACAGUUACUGACGCUGAUGCACGAAGGCCAGGGGAGCAAACGGG
rnacentral:rRNA from 1 species